rnacentral:rRNA from 1 species
GUGGGGAAUAUUGCACAAUGGGCGCAAGCCUGAUGCAGCAACGCCGCGUGAGGGACGACGGCCUUCGGGUUGUAAACCUCUUUUAGCAGGGAAGAAGCGAAAGUGACGGUACCUGCAGAAAAAGCACCGGCUAACUACGUGCCAGCAGCCGCGGUAAUACGUAGGGUGCAAGCGUUGUCCGGAAUUAUUGGGCGUAAAGAGCUCGUAGGCGGUCUGUCGCGUCUGCUGUGAAAACUGGAGGCUCAACCUCCAGCCUGCAGUGGGUACGGGCAGACUAGAGUGCGGUAGGGGAGAUUGGAAUUCCUGGUGUAGCGGUGGAAUGCGCAGAUAUCAGGAGGAACACCGAUGGCGAAGGCAGAUCUCUGGGCCGUAACUGACGCUGAGGAGCGAAAGCGUGGGGAGCGAACAGGAUUAGAAACCCGAGUAGUCC